rnacentral:ncRNA from 1 species
AUAAUGACAAGGAAGAGGAGUAUUAAGAGCCUAUCGUUUGCAGAGAGUUGUCGUUUGGUGCAAGACAACAGCGUAAUCUCCCAACUCGCCUCGGAGUUCUUUUGUUGAAAUAUAUUUGAUGAGUACCUCGAAAGUACUUCAAAAGUACCUCGUCAAGUAACAUAUGUGGAAACAACUACAUCGCUAGGUUCGUAAGAACCUCACCAAGCCGAUGAGUUGUGCCUUGUUACUAGACUCGAAAGUACCUCGUCAAGUAACAUAGGCAGAAGCGGGACUUCCCGUUAUAGAAGAAAUGAGUGCAUUUUGUGAGAGCAGAAUGAAUAAGAGUGGUAACGCGGAUAGACCUUUUCGUCUCUUUU